rnacentral:tRNA from 1 species
GCGCCAAUAGCUCAAGUGGCAGAGCAACUGACUCUUAAUCAGUGGGUUCGGGGUUCGAGUCCCUGUUGGCGCACCG